rnacentral:lncRNA from 1 species
AGUGCAGCUUCCUGUACAUCUGCCUGUGUGUCUGCAGUCACUCCACGUGGGCACUGUGGCUUUUGUCUGCAUCUAGACAACUGGGUG